GACGUAGGGCGCGAGCGUUGUCCGGAUUUAUUGGGCGUAAAGAGCUCGUAGGCGGCUUGUCGCGUCGUCCGUGAAAACUUGGGGCUCAACCCCAAGCUUGCGGUCGAUACGGGCAGGCUAGAGUUCGGUAGGGGAGACUGGAAUUCCUGGUGUAGCGGUGAAAUGCGCAGAUAUCAGGAGGAACACCGGUGGCGAAGGCGGUUCUCUGGGCCUGUACUGACGCUGAGGAGCGAAAGCGUGGGGAGCGAACAGG
rnacentral:rRNA from 1 species